AAGACUAUAGACCUGCGGAGUACCUGCGGAAGGAUCAUUACCGAGUUUACAACUCCCAAACCCAAUGUGAACGUUACCAAACUGUUGCCUCGGCGGGAUCUCUGCCCCGGGUGCGUCGCAGCCCCGGACCAAGGCGCCCGCCGGAGGACCAACCAAAACUCUUUUGUAUACCCCCUCGCGGGUUUUUUUUAUCUGAGCCAUCUCGGCGCCUCUCGUAGGCGUUUCGAAAAUGAAUCAAAA
rnacentral:misc_RNA from 1 species